rnacentral:misc_RNA from 1 species
UAUGUUGGGGUGGAUGGUUCUGGU